rnacentral:rRNA from 1 species
GACGGAGGGUGCUAGCGUUGUUCGGAAUUACUGGGCGUAAAGGGCGCGUAGGCGGCCUGGUCAGUCGGGUGUGAAAGCCCGGGGCUCAACCCGGAACGGCACCCGAGACGGCCAGGCUGGAGACCGGGAGAGGAGGGUGGAAUAGCCAGUGUAGAGGUGAAAUUCGUAGAUAUUCGGAAGAACACCAGUGGCGAAGGCGACUCACUGGACAUGUAUUGACGCUGAGGUGCGAAAGCGUGGGGAGCAAACAGGG